UUUUUUUUAUUUUUUAUUUUUAUUUUAUUUUUUUAUUUUUAUUUUUAAAGAUUUCAUUUAUUUAUUCUUGAGAGACAGAGAGAGAGAGAGAGAGGCAGAGACACAAGCAGAGGGAGAAGCAGGCUCCUCAGGGAGCCUGACGUGGGACUCAAUUCUGGGUCUCCAGGAUCACACCCUGGGCGGAAGGCAGGCACUAAACCACUGAGCCACCCAGGGAUCCCCCCUAAUUAUGUUUUUUAAAAUGAGAUAUAAUCUACAUAUAACAUUGUAUUAUUUUAGGCAUUUAUCAAUGAUUUGAUAUGUGUGACUACAAACGAUGACUACAAUAAAUUUAAUUAAUCUAUAACCACAUACAGUUACACAGUAUUUUUCUUGUGAUGUGAACUUUUAAGAUUUACUUUCUUAGCAGCUUUCAAAUAUGCAAUACAGUAUCAGUAGGUACAAUCACCAUACUAUACAUUGUAUCCCCAGAACUCAUUUAUUUGAUAACUGGAAGUUUGUACCUUUUGACCACCUUCACCCAUUUUGUCCACUAUCUAUCCCCUGCUUCUGGCAACCACUAUUUUUCCUUUGUGCCUAUGAGUUUGUAUGUUUUUAGAUUUCACAUAUGAAUGAGAUCAUACGGUAUUUGUCUUUCUCCACUUGACUUAUUUUACUUAGCAUCAUGCCCUUUAAGGUCCAUCCAUGUUGUUGUGAAUGGCGGGAUUUCCUUCUUUUUAUAGCUGAAUAAUAUUCCAUUUUAAAUGUACAUAUAUAUUAUCUUUAUCCAUUCAUCCAUCAAUGAAUGCCUAGGUUGUUUUCAUGUCUUGGCUAUUGUGAUUAAUGCUGAAAUGAACAUGGGGGUGAAAAUAUCUCUUCAAGAUCCUGAUUUCAAUUCCUUUGGAUUAAUAUCCAGAAGUGUGAUUGCUGGAUGAUUUAGUAAUUCUAUUUUUUUUAAUGUAGACCCCACCCCCAGCAUGGAGCCCACUGUGGGGCUUGAACUCAGUCCUGAGUUGAAGAACUGACACCAAGAGCCAGCUGCUUAACUGACUGAACCACCCAGAAGCCCCUGGUAAUUCUAUUUUUAUUUUUUUAGGAACUCCCAUACUCUUUACCAAAGCAGCUGCACUAUUUUAUAUUCCCACCAAAGCGCACAAGGGCUUCCUUUUCUCUACAUCCUUACAAACGCUUGUUAUUUAUUAGCUUUCUGAGAAUAACCAUUCUAACAGAUGUGAAGUAGUAUCUUGUGAUUUUGAUUUGCAUUUCCCUCACAAUUAAUGAUGUUGAGCUCCUAUUUCUGUAUCUUCUGUCCAUCUGUAUGUCUUCUUUGGUUUUUUAAAGACUUUAUUUAUUCAUAAGAGACAUAGGGAGAGAGGCAGAGACACAGGCAGAGGUAGAAGCAGAUCUCAUGCAGGGAGCCCGAUGUGGGACUUAAUCCCAGGACCCUGGGAUCAUGCCCUGAGCCAGAAGGCAGAUGCUUAGCCGCUGAGCCAUCCAGGUGUCACUAUAGGUCUUCUUUGGAAAAAAUGUCUAUUUUUUUUUUUUAGGGAAAAAAAUGUCUAUUUACAUCGUCUAUUUUUUACUGGAAUUGUUUGUUUCUAUUGAAUUUUAUGAAUUCUUUAGAUAUUUUGGGUAUUAAUCCCUUAUCAGAUACAUGAUUUGCAAAUAUCUUCUCCCAUUCUGCAGUUUCACUUUUCAUUUUGUUGAUUUUUUUUUUUUUUUGCUAUACAGAAGAUUUUUAGUUGGAUGUAGCCCCAUUUAUUUAUUUUUGCUCUUAUUGCCUUUGCUUUUAGCAUCAAAUUCAGAAAAUCUUUGCCAAGACCAAUGUUGAGGCACUUAUGAUCUUUGUUUUCUUCUAGGAGUUUUAUGUUUUCAGUUCUGUGUCCAUGUCUUUAAUACACUUUGAUUUUUGUAUAUGGUGUGAGGUAGUGGUCCAGUUUUCUCAACACCAAAUCAAAGAGACUAUCCUUCUUUCAUCGUAUAUUCUUGGCUCCUUCAUUAUAAAUUAAUUGACCAUAUAUGUAUGGAUUUAUUUCUGGGCUUUUUAUUUUACUCUGGUGACCAUGGGUCUGUUUUCAUGCCAACACUGUACUGUUUUGAUUACCAUAGGUUUGUAGUAUUGUUUGAAAUCAGGAAGUGUAAUUCUUUCUCAAGGUUGCUGUGGCUUUCAGGAGUCUUUUGUUAAGAUUGAUUUUUUUUUUUUUAAGAUUGAUUUCUUAAACUCAGUUAUUAAUAUUCACUCUCUCCACUCAAAGCAAGGCCCUCACUCAUGGCCUAUUGGUGGUGAACUUGACACACAUUCCCAGCCACCUCUGUUACUUUGUUUCAAGUACUCUUCCCUCCAAUAAAAGAAAGGGUGACUUUGGUGAAAAGAAACAUCAUAUAGCCUGAAUGCAAGAAGGAAGAUAAAAAUAGACAAAGCCAGGGAUCCCUGGGUGGUUCAGCAGUUUAGCACCUGCCUUCCACCCAGGACAUGAUCCUGGAGUCUCGCAAUCGAGUCCACAUCGGGCUCCCUACAUGGAGCCUGCUUCUCCCUCUGCCUGUGUCUCUGC
rnacentral:lncRNA from 1 species